rnacentral:lncRNA from 1 species
CUUACCCAAUUUGGUUGACUAGUUUUAAUCUUCUGAUCCACUAAAACAACCUCAAUACUUAUCCUAACCGAAGUAGUUGGAAGCCAUAUAUCCACUGAAACCAUUUCGAUCCUUAUCCUAACCGAAGUAGUUGGAACGACCUCCACUUUAUCUGCAAGGCUUGAAACUUAUCUGGAAUGUUUGAUCAUCCCGGAUCAAAAUCCCUCAGCUACAGUACUUCCGAGUGCCCUAAACCAGUUCCGAGCAUCCAGAAAAUGGCAAAACCCUGCAAAUUGGCUCAAUUUUGAUUUCAAUUCUUCUUUUCACAUCAAUUUUAAUCCACACUCUAAGAACAUACUAUUACUCAUCUCAAAUUACAAUUUUGCUCAUUACCAGAAUCCAGUAUAUCACAUCUUAAGAUGAUGAGGUUACUUGUAAAGUUUGAUUAAGAUAAAUUACUUCCAUACAUGUACUAAUGAUAAUUAUUAAUUUAAUUAUUAUAUGAAAAUUGUAAUAUGAGAGAAAUUUAAUUUUCAUCAUGUUAGAUUAAGAUUAUUUAAUGAAAAUUUAAUUUAUAAUUUAAUCUUUGUGUCAACAGUAUGAUAAGAUUAUAGCAGUCAUAACAAGAUUAUGAAACUUGCAAAUUAUGUUAAGAACAAAAUCUAAUCAUGAUAAAAUAAGAGCUAGGCUAGAAUACUAUUGUUAGCAAAAUGCCUUUUUUGCUAUUAAAUUUUUAACUCUUGGAUGAGAAAUUGUAGGGUUAGGAUGAUGUUAGUCUUUUAGGAUUGAGUGGUCCCACUAGGGUUGAGUGUUCCCACUGGGUUAUAAUAUUUAAUCCAAUGGUUAGAAAUGAUGAAAGAAAUUGAUCCAAAGGCUAAAAAUUUGAUAGCAAAAAAAGCAUUUUGCUAUCAAUAGUAUUCUAGCCCAACUUAUAAAAUAAUACAAUCUAUAAUACAUUUAUAUGGAGUUAAACUAGGAUUCAACUAAUAGCAUCAAACUAAUAGCAACAAGCUUUUUUGUGUUAUAAACUCGUUUUCAAUGUUGAAAUAUCUAAAUUGACAUUAGUAAUAUUGAGCAUGAUCUUGGAUAUUUGACCUUCCCGGUAACCCUAUUUCACAAAGUUUAAAUAUCACUUUUCUUACCGACCGUCCCUAGAGCAAGUGGCAAAGGGCUUGGUGGUUGGUAUCCGAGACCCAAGUUCGAAUCCUAGUUGAUUCACAUUUCCAGCUAAAUUUAUUUCUAAAUAAAAUAAACGAAGCAGGUAGCGUGCUAUCUAUCUCUCUCAAAAAAAAAAAAAAAAAAUCACUUUUCUUUCUUAUUGAGUAGCCCCAAAACGAAUAGUUAAAAUUAAACAAUCUUCUAAAAUUAAGGGAUUAGAUAGUGAAAUUCAGACAAUAAGAUUUAAACUAUGUAGUUUCGAUCAAAAAUUAAAUCAAUUAGGAUUGUGUUUCAUGAUUUUUUUUCUUUCAAGAUUGCUUGAUCUUACAUAAAUGAAGUCAAUAAUUUAUGAAAUUUUAUUCUGAAGAUUUUUUUUAAGAGAAUUUGAAAGAAGUUCAAAUGCUCUAGUUCAUUUGUGUCAGUCGUUAAAAUGAAUGUGUGAACGUCAAAAACGACUAAUAGGACUCUCAUCUAGUUACCAACUGUUCUUAGAGCAAGUGGCAAAGGACUUGGUAGUUGAUAUCCGAGACCCAAGUUCGAAUCCUAGUUGAUUCACAUUUUCAGUUAAGUUUAUUUCUAAAUGAAAUAAACGAAGCGGGUAGGUUCAAAUUAAAUGUAUAUUUUUACUAGUUUGUAUCUUAAAUUUAAUUUUCUUUACAAAAUUAUGACACUAUAAAACUUUAAUGUAUUUUUUGUUAAAACACUACACUACAAUAC